rnacentral:tRNA from 1 species
UGUUGUUUACUGGCAGCAGUGCCUGCUUGACAUGCAGGAGGCCGCUGGUUCAAUUCCAGCAUCGCCCACCG